rnacentral:rRNA from 1 species
AGCAGUCGCCGCGGUAAUACGAAGGGUGCAAGCGUUACUCGGAAUUACUGGGCGUAAAGCGUGUGUAGGUGGUUGUUUAAGUCUGUCGUGAAAGCCCUGGGCUCAACCUGGGAAUUGCGAUGGAUACUGGGCGACUAGAGUGCGGUAGAGGAUAGUGGAAUUUCCGGUGUAGCAGUGAAAUGCGUAGAGAUCAGAAGGAACAUCUGUGGCGAAGGCGACUAUCUGGGCCUACACUGACACUGAGACACGAAAGCGUGGGGAGCAAACAGGAUUAGAUACCCCUGUAGUCCCUGUCUCUUAUAC